GUGGGAGGGGGCUUGCUCCCGAUAGCUGGGUGCCAGUCACUGUACAGGUUGACUGAUACACCGCUAUCGGGAGCAAGCCCCCUCCCAC
rnacentral:misc_RNA from 1 species